CGGACGGGUGAGUAACGCGUGGGUAACCUGCCUCACACAGGGGGAUAACAGUUGGAAACGACCGCUAAUACCGCAUAACCCGCUGGUAUCGCAUGAUACUGACGGAAAAGAUUUUAUCGGUGUGAGAUGGACCCGCGUCUGAUUAGCCAGUUGGCAGGGUAACGGCCUACCAAAGCGACGAUCAGUAGCCGGCCUGAGAGGGUGGACGGCCACACUGGGACUGAGACACGGCCCAGACUCCUACGGAAGGCAGCAG
rnacentral:rRNA from 1 species